UACGUAGGGUGCAAGCGUUUGUCCGGAAUUAUUGGGCGUAAAGAGCUCGUAGGCGGUCUGUUGCGUCGGCUGUGAAAACCCGGGGCUCAACUCCGGGCCUGCAGCCGAUACGGGCAGACUAGAGUUCGGCAGGGGAGACUGGAAUUCCUGGUGUAGCGGUGAAAUGCGCAGAUAUCAGGAGGAACACCAAUGGCGAAGGCAGCACUCUGGGACGUGA
rnacentral:rRNA from 1 species